rnacentral:rRNA from 1 species
CUGAACCAGCCAAGUAGCGUGAAGGAUGACUGCCCUAUGGGUUGUAAACUUCUUUUAUAAAGGAAUAAAGUCGGGUAUGCAUACCCGUUUGCAUGUACUUUAUGAAUAAGGAUCGGCUAACUCCGUGUCAGCAGCCGCGGUAAUACGGAGGAUCCGAGCGUUAUCCGGAUUUAUUGGGUUUAAAGGGAGCGUAGAUGGAUGUUUAAGUCAGUUGUGAAAGUUUGCGG